GUGGGGAAUUUUGGACAAUGGGGCGAAAGCCUGAUCCAGCAAUGCCGCGUGUGUGAAGAAGGCCUUCGGGUUGUAAAGCACUUUUUGUCCGGAAAGAAAUCCUUGGCUCUAAUACAGUCGGGGGGAUGACGGUACCGGAAGAAUAAGCACCGGCUAACUACGUGCCAGCAGCCGCGGUAAUACGUAGGGUGCAAGCGUUAAUCGGAAUUACUGGGCGUAAAGCGUGCGCAGGCGGUUUGCUAAGACCGAUGUGAAAUCCCCGGGCUCAACCUGGGAACUGCAUUGGUGACUGGCAGGCUAGAGUAUGGCAGAGGGGGGUAGAAUUCCACGUGUAGCAGUGAAAUGCGUAGAGAUGUGGAGGAAUACCGAUGGCGAAGGCAGCCCCCUGGGCCAAUACUGACGCUCAUGCACGAAAGCGUGGGGAGCAAAACAGGAUUAGAUACCCUGGUAGUCCACGCCCUAAACGAUGUCAACUAGUUGUUGGGGAUUCAUUUCCUUAGUAACGUAGCUAACGCGUGAAGUUGACCGCCUGGGGGAGUAC
rnacentral:rRNA from 1 species